rnacentral:rRNA from 1 species
UGGGGAAUAUUGCACAAUGGGCGCAAGCCUGAUGCAGCCAUGCCGCGUGUAUGAAGAAGGCCUUCGGGUUGUAAAGUACUUUCAGCGAGGAGGAAGGCGAUGCGGUUAAUAACCGUGUCGAUUGACGUUACUCGCAGAAGAAGCACCGGCUAACUCCGUGCCAGCAGCCGCGGUAAUACGGAGGGUGCAAGCGUUAAUCGGAAUUACUGGGCGUAAAGCGCACGCAGGCGGUUUGUCAAGUCGGAUGUGAAAUCCCCGGGCUCAACCUGGGAACUGCAUUCGAAACUGGCAGGCUUGAGUCUUGUAGAGGGGGGUAGAAUUCCAGGUGUAGCGGUGAAAUGCGUAGAGAUCUGGAGGAAUACCGGUGGCGAAGGCGGCCCCCUGGACAAAGACUGACGCUCAGGUGCGAAAGCGUGGGGAGCAAACA